rnacentral:tRNA from 1 species
GGGGAUGUAGCUCAGUUGGCAGAGUGCUUGCUUAGCAUGCACAAGACCCUGGGUUCAAUCCCCAGCACCACCA